AUUGAACGCUGGCGGCAUGCUUUACACAUGCAAGUCGAACGGCAGCGCGGGCUUCGGCCUGGCGGCGAGUGGCGAACGGGUGAGUAAUGCAUCGGAACGUGCCCAGUAGUGGGGGAUGGCCCGGCGAAAGCCGGAUUAAUACCGCAUACGACCUGCGGGUGAAACCGGGGGGCCGAAAGGCCUCGCGCUAUUGGAGCGGCCGAUGUCGGAUUAGCUAGUUGGUGGGGUAAAGGCUUACCAAGGCGACGAUCCGUAGCUGGUCUGAGAGGACGACCAGCCACACUGGGACUGAGACACGGCCCAGACUCCUACGGGAGGCAGCAGUGGGGAAUUUUGGACAAUGGGGGCAACCCUGAUCCAGCCAUGCCGCGUGCGGGAAGAAGGCCUUCGGGUUGUAAACCGCUUUUGUUCGGGAAGAAAUCCUCUGGGCUAAUACCCCGGGGGGAUGACGGUACCGGAAGAAUAAGCACCGGCUAACUACGUG
rnacentral:rRNA from 1 species